rnacentral:misc_RNA from 1 species
AAGUCGUAACAAGGUUUCCGUAGGUGAACCUGCGGAAGGAUCAUUAAUGAAUUGAAAGGGAGUUGAUGCUGGCUAGGUCUCCUGGCAUGUGCUCGCUCCCGACAAUCUUAUCCCAUACACCUGUGCACACUGUGAGGGCGUGAAAGCGCCCUUAUUUUAACAUACACCUUAUAUAGUAAUCGCACGUGAUCUGCGUCUUCUGGCGCUUAAAUGAAAAUACAACUUUUAACAACGGAUCUCUUGGCUCUC